rnacentral:rRNA from 1 species
CCUACGGGAGGCAGCAGUGGGGAAUUUUGGACAAUGGGCGCAAGCCUGAUCCAGCCAUGCCGCGUGCAGGAUGAAGGCCUUCGGGUUGUAAACUGCUUUUGUACGGAACGAAAAGACUCUGGUUAAUACCUGGGGUCCAUGACGGUACCGUAAGAAUAAGCACCGGCUAACUACGUGCCAGCAGCCGCGGUAAUACGUAGGGUGCGAGCGUUAAUCGGAAUUACUGGGCGUAAAGCGUGCGCAGGCGGUUAUAUAAGACAGAUGUGAAAUCCCCGGGCUCAACCUGGGAACUGCAUUUGUGACUGUAUAGCUAGAGUACGGCAGAGGGGGAUGGAAUUCCGCGUGUAGCAGUGAAAUGCGUAGAUAUGCGGAGGAACACCGAUGGCGAAGGCAAUCCCCUGGGCCUGUACUGACGCUCAUGCACGAAAGCGUGGGGAGCAAACAGGAUUAGAUACCCUGGUAGUCCACGCCCUAAACGAUGUCAACUGGUUGUUGGGUCUUCACUGACUCAGUACGAAGCUAACGCGUGAAGUUGACCGCCUGGGGGAGGACGGCCGCGAGUAGUAACGUACGAAGUAGAGUUAGACGGCGUGAGACGAGCGACGGACGACGACGAGGGAGGAGG